rnacentral:rRNA from 1 species
AGGGCGCACGGUGGAUGCCUUGGCACUAGAAGCCGAUGAAGGACGUGACUAACGACGAAAUGCUUUGGGGAGCUGUAAGUGAGCAAUGAUCCAGAGAUGUCCGAAUGGGGGAACCCGGCAGGUAAUGCCUGUCACUCAUUACUGUUAAGGUAAUGUAGAGGAAGACGCAGUGAACUGAAACAUCUAAGUAGCUGUAGGAAGAGAAAGCAAAAGCGAUUGCCUUAGUAGCGGCGAGCGAAACGGCAAGAGGGCAAACCGAAGAGUUUACUCUUCGGGGUUGUAGGACUGCAACGUGGACUUAAAGAUUAUAGAAGAACUACCUGGGAAGGUAGGCCAAAGAGAGUAAUAGCCUCGUAUUCGAAAUAGUCUUUAUACCUAGCAGUAUCCUGAGUACGGCGAGACACGAGAAAUCUCGUCGGAAUCUGGGAGGACCAUCUCCCAACCCUAAAUACUCUCUAGUGACCGAUAGUGAACCAGUACCGUGAGGGAAAGGUGAAAAGCACCCCGGGAGGGGAGUGAAAUAGAACCUGAAACCGUGUGCCUACAACAAGUUCGAGCCCGUUAAUGGGUGAGAGCGUGCCUUUUGUAGAAUGAACCGGCGAGUUACGAUAUGAUGCGAGGUUAAGUUGAAGAGACGGAGCCGUAGGGAAACCGAGUCUUAAUAGGGCGCAUUAGUAUCAUGUCGUAGACCCGAAACCAUGUGACCUACCCAUGAGCAGGUUGAAGGUGAGGUAAAACUCACUGGAGGACCGAACCAGGGCACGUUGAAAAGUGCUUGGAUGACUUGUGGGUAGCGGAGAAAUUCCAAACGAACUUGGAGAUAGCUGGUUCUCUCCGAAAUAGCUUUAGGGCUAGCGUCGAUGUUAAGUCUCUUGGAGGUAGAGCACUGUUUGGGUGAGGGGUCCAUCCCGGAUUACCAAUCUCAGAUAAACUCCGAAUGCCAAUGAGAUAUAAUCGGCAGUCAGACUGCGAGUGCUAAGAUCCGUAGUCGAAAGGGAAACAGCCCAGACCACCAGCUAAGGUCCCAAAAUAUAUGUUAAGUGGAAAAGGAUGUGGGGUUGCACAGACAACUAGGAUGUUAGCUUAGAAGCAGCUAUUCAUUCAAAGAGUGCGUAAUAGCUCACUAGUCGAGUGACCCUGCGCCGAAAAUGUACCGGGGCUAAACAUAUUACCGAAGCUGUGGAGUACACCUUUAGGUGUAUUGGUAGGAGAGCGUUCUAAGGGCGUUGAAGGCAGAUCGUGAGGACUGCUGGAGCGCUUAGAAGUGAGAAUGCCGGUAUGAGUAGCGAAAGACAGGUGAGAAUCCUGUCCACCGUAAGACUAAGGUUUCCAGGGGAAGGCUCGUCCGCCCUGGGUUAGUCGGGACCUAAGGAGAGACCGAAAGGUGUAUCCGAUGGACAACAGGUUGAUAUUCCUGUACUAGAGUAUAUAGUGAUGGAGGGACGCAGUAGGCUAACUAAACCAGACGAUUGGAAGUGUCUGGCCAAGCAGUGAGGUGUGAUAUGAGUCAAAUGCUUAUAUCUUUAACAUUGAGCUGUGAUGGGGAGCGAAGUUUAGUAGCGAAGUUAGUGAUGUCACACUGCCGAGAAAAGCUUCUAGCGUUAAUUAUACUCUACCCGUACCGCAAACCGACACAGGUAGUCGAGGCGAGUAGCCUCAGGUGAGCGAGAGAACUCUCGUUAAGGAACUCGGCAAAAUGGCCCCGUAACUUCGGGAGAAGGGGCGCUGACUGAUGGUCAGCCGCAGUGAAUAGGCCCAAGCAACUGUUUAUCAAAAACACAGCUCUCUGCUAAAUCGUAAGAUGAUGUAUAGGGGGUGACGCCUGCCCGGUGCUGGAAGGUUAAGAGGAGUGCUUAGCGUAAGCGAAGGCAUGAAUUGAAGCCCCAGUAAACGGCGGCCGUAACUAUAACGGUCCUAAGGUAGCGAAAUUCCUUGUCGGGUAAGUUCCGACCCGCACGAAAGGCGUAAUGAUUUGGGCACUGUCUCAACGAGAGACUCGGUGAAAUUUUAGUACCUGUGAAGAUGCAGGUUACCCGCGACAGGACGGAAAGACCCCAUGGAGCUUUACUGCAGUUUGAUAUUGAGUAUCUGUACCACAUGUACAGGAUAGGUAGGAGCCUAUGACCUCGGGACGCCAGUUUCGAGUGAGGCGUUGUUGGGAUACUACCCUUGUGUUAUGGCUACUCUAACCCAGAUAGG